rnacentral:lncRNA from 1 species
GCAAUUUCAAAGUGAAGAAGUUGAAAACAGAUGUUGCCAAAAAUUCUUCUUUUUUUUGCAGGGAGGAGACUGUUCCAAUGUUAAGUUCGGAAAAACCUGUCUAUUCCAACAUUAUUUGCUGAGGCUGAAAAGAUCCUCAGCUUGUCCAGGUCUCCUUAUUUAUGGUCUGGUUCAUUCAUACUAAGAUCCAAUUGGAGCUUUUAAAAAUACCACUUUAACCAACAUGGUUGCAUCCUACAAAACUGCACUUAGAUUGUUUUCUGCUUUGAGGGGCAUCUGUAGCCGGGACAACUUGAAACCCUAUUGCCAUUUGAAUUGAAGUGGCAUGUGUAAAAGCAUGUGAACUGAUCGCAUCUUCACCAGCUUCCCUCCCCACAUCGGUCCUUUUUGAUAAAAAAAACUAAACAAACCCUCAUCUGUCCCUCGCAUAUGGCUCUGUGUGUGUGUGUAAGUACAUGCGUGUGACUUGUCAUUGGAGUAGGUCAUUGCAACAGAUGCCAAACAGAUAAUAGUUUGAGAAGACAA